rnacentral:rRNA from 1 species
AUGUCUCGACAAUCAAGUAUAAUGAAUUUUUUUACCGAACUCACAGAAGUAGAUUGUGUAUCCCAUCCAGCAUUCAACCUAAUGGACAUCCAGGGAACCACUUUGAGUAGGCAAUUGUUUGUGUGGAGGAAAAUGCAUGGUACUACAGCUAACCUUCCUCUGGUCCAGAUGAAAUCAAGGCAACUGGGUCUUCUAUCUUCAAACAUCAAUUUAAGUUGGAAUUAUACGGCCUUUCAGGUGGUCCUAUUUUGCUUCUGCGGUUCUCAGCUUUGGUCCUAUCACCGAGACGAUAGGUGCCCCCGCUAA